rnacentral:rRNA from 1 species
UACGGGGGGGGCAAGCGUUGUUCGGAAUUACUGGGCGUAAAGGGCGUGUAGGCGGCCAACUAAGUCCGACGUGAAAUCCCCAGGCUUAACCUGGGAACUGCGUCGGAUACUGGAUGGCUUGAAUCCGGGAGAGGGAUGCGGAAUUCCAGGUGUAGCGGUGAAAUGCGUAGAUAUCUGGAGGAACACCGGUGGCGAAGGCGGCAUCCUGGACCGGUAUUGACGCUGAGGCGCGAAAGCCAGGGGAGCAAACGGG